rnacentral:sRNA from 1 species
AAUAUUUAUUUGUGGUGCAGUAUUCUAGUCGGUACUGCCGGUUUCGAAGACGGGCCUAAAAAUCCGUACAGGGCACAUCGAUGAAGUUUCUGGUGUUGGCUUUUAACGCCCCGUUAGGAGCUGAUGCUGGGAGUUAAGGAAGAAGGGCGACUCAUAAGGGCAUAUGAGAGCCGACCCAGCUUCCGUGGAGACCCAUCUCGGUGGUUUUUUAAAAAUUACUGACUGGGAUUAAACCUGAUAUGCGGCCUCAAGCUGUGUACAGAGUAGCCUGCCUUGCGUUGAUGUGGUGGAUUGAGGAAUAUGCUCCCUUGACUUUGGCCAAGAAUAGGGCGUAAUCGCCUUUUGAAACCAUGUUGGCAAAAGAGGAUAGAUUCCGGUUUGUGCUGUUGAGGAAAGCUCCUAGACUGUAAUUUUAGGUGCGUCGGGGAUUAUAGUGUGGUUAUUAAGGCGAUUCAGUUAUACACUUGGCGACAAGGUAUUGCAGGCUUUAAAGGGAAACCGCUCUCUUACGGCGACGAGGAGUAGCCUGUAGGGAAAUCCUACUGAACUAUAUGCUGCAAGGUCUACUCGGCGCAUCACCACAUAUUUAAAAUA